CUAAUCACCUUGAUCUUGUGGCUAGAGCUCCAAGGAACCGUCCUCGCGUGAUACAGCGACUCGUGAACCAUCGAUAUUUGUGGCUAGAGCUAUAAUUGGUGAGGGUUUCCAAUCUUCGUUUUUUAGCUGGUACUUGACCUUGAUCUUGUCCAUGGAGGAAGAAGUGAAAUGAAGAGAGUUAAAGUGUUGAAGGUGACUUUUAUUACGAAGAGAAUAGGGUAGUGAAAAUGUGGAACAAGAAGACAGUCAUGGUUAGGUUUGUUUUGAGAUUUAAGCGCGGUGGUUACGAGGUAACGAGUAGUGAUUGAGUAGGAGCUAGUACUUGGAGUCUAGAGUAGUUCCUUAGUGGGUCAUGCUCUGAUAGAUGUAACAUCGGGAAGGGAUGUUUUAAAUGUUUUACUGUUGGUUGUGAACCAUUUUACAUGUAAUGUGUUACAUGUUUUGAUCGAUUUGAUUUAUAUCCGCUGCGAUUUAUGCGAAUGUUUAUUUGAUUAAAUAAAGAGCAUGACUGUUAUUUUGGAA